rnacentral:piRNA from 1 species
AGCCGAAAUGUGGUGCACAGUGUCCGC